rnacentral:rRNA from 1 species
UGGGGGAUAUUGCACAAUGGGCGAAAGCCUGAUGCAGCGACGCCGCGUGGGGGAUGAAGGCUUUCGGGUUGUAAACCUCUUUCGCUAUCGAACAAGGCCCGCUUAGGGUGGGUUGAGGGUAGGUGGAGAAGAAGCGCCGGCUAAUUACGUGCCAGCAGCCGCGGUAAUACGUAGGGCGCGAGCGUUGUCCGGAAUUAUUGGGCGUAAAGGGCUUGUAGGCGGCUUGUUGCGCCUGCUGUGAAAACGCGGGGCUUAACUUCGCGCGUGCAGUGGGUACGGGCAGGCUUGAGUGUGGUAGGGGUGACUGGAAUUCCAGGUGUAGCGGUGGAAUGCGCAGAUAUCUGGAGGAACACCGAUGGCGAAGGCAGGUCACUGGGCCAUUACUGACGCUGAGGAGCGAAAGCAUGGGUAGCGAACAGG